rnacentral:misc_RNA from 1 species
GUAGGUGAACCUGCGGAAGGAUCAUUACAAAUCAUUGUGUUUGCUCCUUUGUAAGUAAUAGGAGGAGUGAAUAACACAUGUGCCCGGACUACUAUAGUAUGGUGUGAAUAUUCAUUCAUUCCAUCCAUUGUAGUCUGUGACAUUUACGCUUGUUGUGUUUGACAGAGUUUAUAUUAUUAUCACAAAUAUAAGACAACUUUUAACAAUGGAUCUCUUGGCUCUUGCAUCGAUGAAGAACGCAGCAUCUGAC